GUGGGGAAUAUUGGACAAUGGGCGAAAGCCUGAUCCAGCCAUGCCGCGUGUGUGAAGAAGGUCUUCGGAUUGUAAAGCACUUUAAGUUGGGAGGAAGGGUAGUAACCUAAUACGUUGCUACUUUGACGUUACCGACAGAAUAAGCACCGGCUAACUUCGUGCCAGCAGCCGCGGUAAUACGAAGGGUGCAAGCGUUAAUCGGAAUUACUGGGCGUAAAGCGCGCGUAGGUGGUUCAGUAAGUUGGAAGUGAAAUCCCCGGGCUCAACCUGGGAACUGCUUUAAAAACUGCUGAGCUAGAGUACGGUAGAGGGUGGUGGAAUUUCCUGUGUAGCGGUGAAAUGCGUAGAUAUAGGAAGGAACACCAGUGGCGAAGGCGACCACCUGGACUGAUACUGACACUGAGGUGCGAAAGCGUGGGGAGCAAACAGGAUUAGAUACCCGGGUAGUCC
rnacentral:rRNA from 1 species